UGAAUACGAGACGCUAAGGCGUCGAAGUAGUGUAUGUCAUACUUCCAAGAAAAGCUUGCACUGUCAUAGAUAAAAAACGCCUGUACCAUAACCGACACAGGUGGGUAGGUAGAGUAUACUAAGGGGCGCGAGAUAACUCUCUCUAAGGAACUCGGCAAAAUAACUCCGUAACUUCGGGAGAAGGAGUGCCUUAUUCGUAAGGUUGCAAUAACAAGAUCCAAGCAACUGUUUAUCAAAAACACAGGUCUCCGCUAAGUCGUAAGACGAUGUAUGGGGGCUGACGCCUGCCCAGUGCCAGAAGGUUAAAGAAGUUGGUUAGCAAUUGCGAAGCUGAUAACUGAAGCCCUGGUGAACGGCGGCCGUAACAAUAACGGUCCUAAGGUAGCGAAAUUCCUUGUCGGGUAAGUUCCGACCCGCACGAAAGGCGUAAUGAUUUGGAUACUGUCUCGGAGAGGGGCUCGGUGAAAUAGACUUGUCUGUGAAGAUGCGGACUACCUGCACCAGGACAGAAAGACCCUAUGAAGCUUUACUGUAACUUGAAAUUGAAAUUGGACUUUAUUCGCGCAGUAUAGGUGGGAGGCGUUGAUUAUAAUCUUGUGGGAUUAUUGGAGCCAUCAGUGAGAUACCACUCUUGUAAUGUUAGAUUUCUAACUUUGAAUCAUUAUCUGGUCAAAGAACAGUUUCAGGCGGGCAGUUUGACUGGGGCGGUCGCCUCCUAAACGGUAACGGAGGCGUACAAAGGUUUCCUCUGAACGGUUAGAAAUCGUAUCUAGAGUGUAAAGGCAUAAGGAAGCUUGACUGUGAGACCUACAAGUCGAGCAGGGACGAAAGUCGGUCUUAGUGAUCUGACGGUACUGAGUGGAAAGGCCGUCACUCAACGGAUAAAAGUUACUCUAGGAUAACAGGCUGAUCUCCCCCAAGAGUUCACAUCGACGGGGAGGUUUGGCACCUCGAUGUCGGCUCAUCGCAUCCUGGGGCGGUAGUACGUCCCAAGGGUUGGGCUGUUCGCCCAUGAAAGCGGUACGCGAGCUGGGUUCAGAACGUCGUGAGACAGUUCGGUCCAUAUCCGGUGUAGGCGUUAGAAUAUUGAGAGGAGCCUUCUUUAGUACGAGAGGACCGAGAAGGACAUACCUCUGGUGUACCAGUUAUCGUGCCAACGGUAAACGCUGGGUAGCUAUGUAUGGAGUGGAUAACCGCUGAAAGCAUCUAGUGGGAAGCCCACCUCAAGAUAAG
rnacentral:rRNA from 1 species